rnacentral:rRNA from 1 species
UACGGGGGGGGCAAGCGUUGUUCGGAAUUACUGGGCGUAAAGGGCUCGUAGGCGGCCAACUAAGUCAGACGUGAAAUCCCUCGGCUUAACCGGGGAACUGCGUCUGAUACUGGAUGGCUUGAAUCCGGGAGAGGGAUGCGGAAUUCCAGGUGUAGCGGUGAAAUGCGUAGAUAUCGGGAGGAACACCUGUGGCGAAAGCGGCGCACUGGACCAUAACUGACGCUGAGGCGCGAAAGCUAGGGGAGCAAACAGG